GACGAACGCUGGCGGCGUGCUUAACACAUGCAAGUCGAACGAAGAGCGAUGGAAGCUUGUUUCUAUCAAUCUUAGUGGCGAACGGGUGAGUAACGCGUAAUCAACCUGCCCUUCAGAGGGGGACAACAGUUGGAAACGACUGCUAAUACCGCAUACGAUCUAAACUCGGCAUCGAGGAUAGAUGAAAGGUGGCCUCUACAUGUAAGCUAUCACUGAAGGAGGGGAUUGCGUCUGAUUAGCUAGUUGGAGGGGUAACGGCCCACCAAGGCGAUGAUCAGUAGCCGGUCUGAGAGGAUGAACGGCCACAUUGGGACUGAGACACGGCCCAGACUCCUACGGGAGGCAGCAGUGGGGAAUCUUCCGCAAUGGACGAAAGUCUGACGGAGCAACGCCGCGUGAGUGAUGACGGCCUUCGGGUUGUAAAGCUCUGUUAAUCGGGACGAAAGGCCUUCUUGCGAAUAGUGAGAAGGAUUGACGGUACCGGAAUAGAAAGCCACGGCUAACUACGUG
rnacentral:rRNA from 1 species